UACGAAGGGGGCUAGCGUUGUUCGGAAUUACUGGGCGUAAAGCGCACGUAGGCGGAUUUGUAAGUCAGGGGUGAAAUCCCGGAGCUCAACUUCGGAACUGCCUUUGAUACUGCAAGUCUCGAGUCCGGAAGAGGUGAGUGGAACUCCUAGUGUAGAGGUGAAAUUCGUAGAUAUUAGUAAGAACACAGUGGCGAAGGCGGCUCACUGGUCCGGUACUGACGAUGAGGUGCGAAAGAGUGGGGAGCAAACAGG
rnacentral:rRNA from 1 species